rnacentral:lncRNA from 1 species
AUGAUUAUAGACAUCUAUUGGCAAUGGAACUUCAUAAAGAGUUACAUAAAAUCUGAGAAACAAUCCCGAGUGAGGUGCCCAGCCCCAGAUAACGGACUCCUCUGUGCUCACAAGGAAGAGGGCAGCACUCAGUUACUACAGAGAGGAAACUGCGGACAAUGCUGUGUUCCAAACGCACUGCCUACGGCAAGACUAAAACUUAGAGUACGUUCAGGGGCCGUGGGAGUAACGCCCGCUGUGCACACAGCCGAAACAAGGAUCAUGGGAGUAAUGCCCAUUGUGCACACAGCAGAGAAAAGGAUCAUGGGAGUAAUACCCACUAUGUACACAGCAGAGACAAGGGCCAUGGGAGUAACAACCACUGUGCACACAGCAGAGACAAGGAUCAUGGGAGUAACACCCGCUAUGUACACAGCAGAGAAAAGGAUCAUGGGAGCAACGCCCGCUAUGUACACAGCACAGAAAAGGAUCAUGGGAGUAAUACCCACUAUGUACACAGCAGAGACAAGGGAUCAUGGGAGCAACGCCCGCUAUGUACACAGCAGAGAAAAGGAUCAUGGGAGUAACGCCCACUGUGUACACAGCAGAUAA